CCAUGUUUCCCUCGGGACACCGGAGACAGGUGGUGCAUGGUUGUCGUCAGCUCGUGUCGUGAGAUGUUGGGUUAAGUCCCGCAACGAGCGCAACCCCUAUUUCCAGUAGCCAGCAUUUAAGAUGGGCACUCUGGAGAGACUGCCCGGGAUAACCGGGAGGAAGGCGGGGAUGACGUCAAAUCAUCAUGCCCCUUAUGAUCAGGGCUACACACGUGCUACAAUGGCGUAAACAAAGGGAAGCAAAGCGGUGACGCCAAGCAAAUCCCAAAAAUAACGUCCCAGUUCGGAUUGUAGUCUGCAACCCGACUACAUGAAGCUGGAAUCGCUAGUAAUCGCGGAUCAGAAUGCCGCGGUGAAUACGUUCCCGGGUCUUGUACACACCGCCCGUCACACCAUGGGAGUCGGAAAUGCCCGAAGUCAGUGACCCAACCGUAAGGAGGGAGCUGCCGAAGGUGGAGCCGGUAACUGGGGUGAAGUCGUAACAAGGUAGCCGUAUCGGA
rnacentral:rRNA from 1 species